rnacentral:rRNA from 1 species
UACAGAGGGGGCAAGCGUUGUUCGAAAUUACUGGGCGUAAAGGGCGCGUAGGCGGCCGCCUAAGUCAGACGUGAAAUCCCUCGGCUCAACCGGGGAACUGCGUCUGAUACUGGGUGGCUUGAAUCCGGGAGAGGGAUGCGGAAUUCCAGGUGUAGCGGUGAAAUGCGUAGAUAUCUGGAGGAACACCGGUGGCGAAGGCGGCAUCCUGGACCGGCAUUGACGCUGAGGCGCGAAAGCCAGGGGAGCAAACGGG